UUUGACUAGAAAGAAGCAACUGGCAGGAGAAAAAGGAUAUAAGGAAAAUAAAAUAACACUGACAGAUGGCUUUGGAAUUUGAAGGAGAAAGUUGAUUUCAUAUUUAUAUAUGAUGUUGAAAGACUACUGGCAGACAUUGAGAUAGGAACUGACAUGAGCUAAAAAUUGGAAGCUUUUUUUGUCUGUCUUGUUUGCUUUCUUAAAGAAGCUUUCAGAGUAACUGGAGUGACUAUGGUUUGGGGGAGGUAGGAAGUGAAGUGUAAAGUUGGGGAGUAAAUGGGUAUAACUUGGUGGCAAUUCUACAAGAAGAGUUUGGUUGUGAUCAGGAAAUAAUGAGUAGCUGGAGUUAGGACCCGAAACAAAGGUUACAGACAGAUGGUGGAAGGCUUUGAAUGAUAGGAUAAGGAACAGAAUUGACUUGAGCAGGUUGUACGGGAUCUGAGUAUCCAAGGGCAGGAUCUGAGCCAGGCAAAUUUUAGGAAAAUAAGAAUUAGAGUGGGAAAGUCUCGAAGCAAGGAAAACAGGUAAGAGACCCUCUGAAUAGUUCAGAUAAUAAGGACCAGGAG
rnacentral:lncRNA from 1 species